rnacentral:rRNA from 3 species
AGCAACAAAUGCCCUGCUUCCAGGAAAAGCCUCUAAGCAUCAGGUAACAUCAAAUCGUACCCCAAACCGACACAGGUGGUCAGGUAGAGAAUACCAAGGCGCUUGAGAGAACUCGGGUGAAGGAACUAGGCAAAAUGGUGCCGUAACUUCGGGAGAAGGCACGCUGACACGUAGGUGAAGUGAUUUACUCAUGGAGCUGAAGUCAGUCGAAGAUACCAGCUGGCUGCAACUGUUUAUUAAAAACACAGCACUGUGCAAACACGAAAGUGGACGUAUACGGUGUGACGCCUGCCCGGUGCCGGAAGGUUAAUUGAUGGGGUCAGCGCAAGCGAAGCUCCUGAUCGAAGCCCCGGUAAACGGCGGCCGUAACUAUAACGGUCCUAAGGUAGCGAAAUUCCUUGUCGGGUAAGUUCCGACCUGCACGAAUGGCGUAAUGAUGGCCAGGCUGUCUCCACCCGAGACUCAGUGAAAUUGAACUCGCUGUGAAGAUGCAGUGUACCCGCGGCAAGACGGAAAGACCCCGUGAACCUUUACUAUAGCUUGACACUGAACAUUGAGCCUUGAUGUGUAGGAUAGGUGGGAGGCUUUGAAGUGUGGACGCCAGUCUGCAUGGAGCCGACCUUGAAAUACCACCCUUUAAUGUUUGAUGUUCUAACGUGGACCCGUGAUCCGGGUUGCGGACAGUGUCUGGUGGGUAGUUUGACUGGGGCGGUCUCCUCCUAAAGAGUAACGGAGGAGCACGAAGGUUGGCUAAUCCUGGUCGGACAUCAGGAGGUUAGUGCAAUGGCAUAAGCCAGCUUGACUGCGAGCGUGACGGCGCGAGCAGGUGCGAAAGCAGGUCAUAGUGAUCCGGUGGUUCUGAAUGGAAGGGCCAUCGCUCAACGGAUAAAAGGUACUCCGGGGAUAACAGGCUGAUACCGCCCAAGAGUUCAUAUCGACGGCGGUGUUUGGCACCUCGAUGUCGGCUCAUCACAUCCUGGGGCUGAAGUAGGUCCCAAGGGUAUGGCUGUUCGCCAUUUAAAGUGGUACGCGAGCUGGGUUUAGAACGUCGUGAGACAGUUCGGUCCCUAUCUGCCGUGGGCGCUGGAGAACUGAGGGGGGCUGCUCCUAGUACGAGAGGACCGGAGUGGACGCAUCACUGGUGUUCGGGUUGUCAUGCCAAUGGCACUGCCCGGUAGCUAAAUGCGGAAGAGAUAAGUGCUGAAAGCAUCUAAGCACGAAACUUGCCCCGAGAUGAGUUCUCCCUGAGACUUUAGGUCUCCUGAAGGAACGUUGAAGACGACGACGUUGAUAGGCCGGGUGUGUAAGCGCAGCGAUGCGUUGAGCUAACCGGUACUAAUGAACCGUGAGGCUUAACCUU